ACGCAGACAUCCGUUGUUGAAAAAUGAGAUUCCAAUGUGGAGGGAGAAGAAAGAGCCGUGAGAUUACAUUGGCUCCCUUCACGUUUUUGUGUCGAUCUGUGCGGACGCCUGUACUCGGGAAGAAAGGCAAAGCGCGCGCGCCGUUACAAUAGCACCUCUAUUUCCGCAAAACGCUGAUAUUCCUUCAUUUAUUCACUGACGUCAAAGGUACUGUUUCAAUACUCUGCCCAUAUAAGCUUGAGUAUAGAGCUCUGGAGAUAAGUUAAACCGUGAGGAGGUACCUGCGUACCGUACCAACUGAGCCAAACAGUGCAGCACGAACUUUACGGAAGACAGUCACAGAUAUGAAACAAAGGACAUAUUGCAAGUCGCAAUUAAUUGCUAUUUUAGUAGCAUUUCUACUUCACGCGGCAAUUGUAGCAGGGCGGCCUUCCACGCAUCUGAAAACAGUAUAUGCCAAACUUCUAGACGAUUCCAGACGACAAGACCAUUGGCCUGCUUCACAGCAGGAAUCAGACAAGAUGCUAAGAGUACGAGGUAUCGCUCAACUUUCGCCGAACGAAAUCAAGAAACUUCUUCCGUGUUACCCGAUGUGUCUUCCGAGUGAUCUCGAUUACCAGUCGGGAGGUAAACGAGGAGUGGUCGGUUUUCUGAGAGUGAAGUCCACGCCGGAAGUAUCAAGAGAGGAGUGGUAGUGAUAAAACCAGGCUGAACUCACUAUCGGUGCUAUUACUCCAGUUUGCUGUAAAAAGAAGCUUAUUUUACUGAAAUGAAUAGUUUAAAUGAAAUGAAAUAUCUUGCUUUUCAA